rnacentral:rRNA from 1 species
UACGGAGGGGACUAGCGUUGUUCGGAAUUACUGGGCGUAAAGCGCACGUAGGCGGAUUUGUAAGUCAGGGGUGAAAUCCCGGGGCUCAACCUCGGAACUGCCUUUGAUACUGCAAAUCUCGAGUCCGGAAGAGGUGAGUGGAAUUCCUAGUGUAGAGGUGAAAUUCGUAGAUAUUAGGAAGAACACCAGUGGCGAAGGCGGCUCACUGGUCCGGUACUGACGCUGAGGAGCGAAAGCUAGGGGAGCAAACGGG